rnacentral:misc_RNA from 1 species
AAGUCGUAACAAGGUUUCCGUAGGUGAACCUGCGGAAGGAUCAUUACAUAAGAGGGGAGGGGGGGAAAGUGGGAGAGUUAAGGGGAAGGGCUUUGCUCAGAAGAGCACUGCUCUAUACUAUACUAUACCCUCCUACUCACCCCACCGCCCAUAUUAGCACGGAGGCCGCUUGCCUUGUCUAUACAGGCAAGCAGCCCCAUGUUUACGCUUGCUUGUUUGACAAAGUUAUACCCAUCCAAUCAACUUUUACAACUUUUAACAAUGGAUCUCUUGGCUCUU